rnacentral:pre_miRNA from 1 species
GGGGGAGCGCAGGAUCCUGGGCUGUGUCCCCUGGCGCCCUGGGCUCCGGGGCCUGUGCUGGUGGAAUCGUGCUCCCGGGCCACACAGCCACUC